AAGUCGCAGGUGCAUGCAGUUUUGAAGGUGAGAGCUAGAAGUUGGCCUGCAUACCAGCUGUGUACUUGGAGGGAGUACCCAGUGCUGCCCCACAGCAUGCCCACCUGCCUGCUUGGAUCUCUUUUCCUGUUUUCAUCUCUGGUAGGGGGUGGUGGGAGGUAGGGCACCCAGGUAGGCCUCACUUUGAAGAAUGCAGGUCAUAACAGGGGUCAUAGAGUGGGUUGGCAUGGCCAUCAUUGUCUUUCCUGUGGACAUUCACCUACCUUACCCCCAACCCAGGCGGUCUUUAUUUUCCCACAGCUGGUCAGUGAGUUCUGCCCUCGGCUCACCUUUCUCAAGCUUUCAGACUGCCACAGUGUGACCACGGAUGCUCUCGUCAUGCUAGCCAAAGCCUGCCACCAGCUCUACAGCCUGGAUCUACAACACUCCAUGGUGAGCCCUGUGUCCCAAGGGACUCCGAAGAAGCCUAGGUAGAGGUGACAAGUAGCUCUGUGUUGGGUCCCCAGGUGGAGUCCACAGCUGUGGUGAGCUUUCUGGAGGAGGCUGGACCCCGAAUGCGCAGGCUGUGGCUGACCUAUAGUUUCCAGACAACAGCCAUCUUGGGUGCACUACUGGUAGGCUGGUGACGGGCAGGAGCAGAGCCAAAUGCUAAACGGGGGAGUGCCAGGCUGGUGACCCAGGUAUACUCUACCACUCCUGCAGGGUAGCUGCUGCCCCAAGCUCCAGGUCCUGGAGCUAAGCACCGGCCUCAACCGCAACAACACUCCUCUGCUGCUGCCUAUUGAGGUUCUUCAGAAAGGCUGUCCCCAGCUGCAGGUACCUGAUGACUUGCUUCUUACACCUGCCACCCUAUCCCCACCUGCAGCCUGAGCCUUGUCCCCAGGUACUGCGGCUGCUGAAUUUGAUGUGGCUGCCCAAGCCUUCUGGGCGAGGGGCAGCUCUGGGACCAGGCUUCCCCCACCUUGAGGAGCUCUGCCUCGCCAGCUCCACUUGCAACUUUGUGAGCAACGAUGUCCUGAGUCGCCUGCUCCAUGGCUCCCCCAACUUGCGCCUGCUGGAUCUUCGUGGCUGUGCCCGCAUCACGCCUGCUGGUCUGCGUGAUCUGCCAUGUAAAGGUCAGCUGUCCUGUUUGGUGGCUGGGCAGGUGGGAUGUGGGGACCCUUGCUUCUCCUGUGGCCAACACCAUUCCUGUCACCUCAGAGCUGGAGCAGCUGCACUGGGGCCUGUAUGGUGUGUCUGACCGGCUGUCUCUAGCUAAGGAGGGCAGCACCCUGUUGACUCAGAAGUGGCAUCACACCCUGCGGGAACUGGACUUGAGUGGCCAGGGCUUCAGUGAAAAGGACCUGGAGCAAGCCUUAGCUGCCUUCUCUGGCACCCAUGGAGGCGCCCACCCAGCCCUGUGCUCCCUUAACCUCAGGGGUACCCGGGUUACAGCAAGCACGAUCAGGUUAGCACCCAUCCCCCAGGCCCUUGAAGCUAGUACUGCUUGUGGCCCAGAGCUGGUGUGCCACCUUGCUCAGUACCCCUGAGGUCUGGGAGGGAGUGGAUACUUGGCCUUGGGAACACUAAGGGGGCUGGGUUUGAGCCUAGUUAGCUGUGGGUAGUAGGCCAGGGGUAGAGCAUAGGCAAACAGGGAUCCCUGGCUGAGCCCAGCCUUCUGGGCCUGCAUUUUCCUGGCAGCUGCUUACUUUCCCAUGACUUGCCCUACCCACAGCUCUAUGAUCAGUAGCUGCCCUGGCCUGCUAUACCUCAACCUGGAAUCCUGCCGCUGCCUCCCCAGGGGCCUGAAGCGUGCCUACCGAGGCCUAGAGGAAGUCCAGUGGUGUCUGGAGCAGCUACUCACCAGCCCCUCCUCCUCCAGCUAGGCAGUUCCAGCUCUGCCUGUACCCUUUCCCAGUUUGGGAUGUUUAAACAUUUUGUUACAGUAAAAUAUUUUUAGGAACUCUGUGUGGUCCUUGGGUGGCCCCUUGGGUGAGAAACAGGGUUACAUCUGAUGGAGCACUGUAGGCUGCAGCAGGCAGGAGUCGGUAUGUGGGGGCCCUCUGGAGCCUGACUGGGCUGCACCUGGUCACUGCUGGGUUCACACUUUAGACUGUUGUGUGUCCCACCUCAAGACACUGAGUGAGCUGGGUCAAGCAUGCUGAAAUCCCAGCAGCUGGGGAGGCUGAGCAGAGGGGCAUUACAAGCUUAAAACCAGCCUCAGCAACUUAGACCUUGUCUGAACAAGUAGAAAGGGCUGGGGAUGCUGCUCAGUGGUUAAGCACCCUUGAGUUCAAUCCCUG
rnacentral:lncRNA from 1 species